rnacentral:rRNA from 1 species
UUGAACGCUGGCGGCAGGCCUCACACGUGCAAGUCGCGCGGAUGAAGGGAGCUUGCUCCUGGAUUCAGCGGCGGACGGGUGAGUAAUGCCUAGGAAUCUGCCUGGUAGUGGGGGAUAACGUCCGGAAACGGGCGCUAAUACCGCAUACGUCCUGAGGGAGAAAGUGGGGGAUCUUCGGACCUCACGCUAUCAGAUGAGCCUAGGUCGGAUUAGCUAGUUGGUGGGGUAAAGGCCUACCAAGGCGACGAUCCGUAACUGGUCUGAGAGGAUGAUCAGUCACACUGGAACUGAGACACGGUCCAGACUCCUACGGGAGGCAGCAGUGGGGAAUAUUGGACAAUGGGCGAAAGCCUGAUCCAGCCAUGCCGCGUGUGUGAAGAAGGUCUUCGGAUUGUAAAGCACUUUAAGUUGGGAGGAAGGGCAGUAAGUUAAUACCUUGCUGUUUUGACGUUACCAACAGAAUAAGCACCGGCUAACUUCGUG